rnacentral:rRNA from 1 species
GAUCCUGGCUCAGGACGAACGCUGGCGGCGUGCCUAAUACAUGCAAGUCGAGCGAAUCGAYGGGAGCUUGCUCCCUGAGAUUAGCGGCGGACGGGUGAGUAACACGUGGGCAACCUGCCUAUAAGACUGGGAUAACUUCGGGAAACCGGAGCUAAUACCGGAUACGUUCUUUUCUCGCAUGAGAGAAGAUGGAAAGACGGUUUACGCUGUCACUUAUAGAUGGGCCCGCGGCGCAUUAGCUAGUUGGUGAGGUAAUGGCUCACCAAGGCGACGAUGCGUAGCCGACCUGAGAGGGUGAUCGGCCACACUGGGACUGAGACACGGCCCAGACUCCUACGGGAGGCAGCAGUAGGGAAUCUUCCGCAAUGGACGAAAGUCUGACGGAGCAACGCCGCGUGAACGAAGAAGGCCUUCGGGUCGUAAAGUUCUGUUGUUAGGGAAGAACAAGUACCAGCAGUAACUGCUGGUACCUUGACGGUACCUAACCAGAAAGCCAC